UCUCUCUAUAUAUAUAUAUAUACAUAGCACAAUCAAGUGUGAAGGUAAAGAUACAACAAUAAUAAAUGGUUGCAGGAAAACAAAAGGAAGAUCACAUGGAUAAAUGGGUAUAUUUUGACAAUUAAAGAAAAGACUUGGUCUCAUAAAAUAAUACAAACAACAACAAUCUUAAAAUACAAAGUAUUGAAAACCAGAUCUAAGCUACAAAAGAAAAUCAGCAAACAAACCAAAAAGCUGAGAGAGAGAGAGAGAGAG
rnacentral:misc_RNA from 1 species